rnacentral:tRNA from 1 species
GAAAGGUUCACAAGAACUGCUAACUCCUACUACUAGUGCUAACCCACUAGACCUUUCU